GACGAACGCUGGCGGCGUGCUUAACACAUGCAAGUCGAACGGAAAGGCCCUGCUUUUGUGGGGUGCUCGAGUGGCGAACGGGUGAGUAACACGUGAGUAACCUGCCCUUGACUUUGGGAUAACUUCAGGAAACUGGGGCUAAUACCGGAUAGGAGCUCCUGCUGCAUGGUGGGGGUUGGAAAGUUUCGGCGGUGGGGGAUGGACUCGCGGCUUAUCAGCUGGUUGGUGGGGUAGUGGCUUACCAAGGCUUUGACGGGUAGCCGGCCUGAGAGGGGGACCGGCCACAUUGGGACUGAGAUACGGCCCAGACUCCUACGGGAGGCAGCAGUGGGGAAUAUUGCACAAUGGGCGGAAGCCUGAUGCAGCAACGCCGCGUGCGGGAUGACGGCCUUCGGGUUGUAAACCGCUUUCGCCUGUGACGAAGCGUGAGUGACGGUAAUGGGUAAAGAAGCACCGGCUAACUACGUG
rnacentral:rRNA from 1 species